AUCCCUAGUAGCGGCGAGCGAAGCGGGAAGAGCUCAAAUUUAUAAUCUGGCACCUUCGGUGUCCGAGUUGUAAUCUCUAGAAGUGUUUUCCGCGUUGGACCGCACACAAGUCUGUUGGAAUACAGCGGCAUAGUGGUGAAACCCCCGUAUAUGGUGCGGACGCCCAGCGCUUUGUGAUACAUUUUCAAUGAGUCGAGUUGUUUGGGAAUGCAGCUCAAAUUGGGUGGUAAAUUCCAUCUAAAGCUAAAUAUUGGCGAGAGACCGAUAGCGAACAAGUACCGUGAGGGAAAGAUGAAAAGCACUUUGGAAAGAGAGUUAACAGUACGUGAAAUUGUUGGAAGGGAAACGCUUGAAGUCAGACUUGCUUGCCGGAGCUUGCUUCGGUUUGCAGGCCAGCAUCAGUUUUCCGGGGUGGAUAAUGACGGUUUGAAGGUAGCAGUCUCGGCUGUGUUAUAGCUUUCCGUUGGAUACAUCCUGGGGGACUGAGGAACGCAGCGUGCUUUUUGCGAAAGACUCGUCUUUUUCACGCUUAGGAUGCUGGUGGAAUGGCUUUAAACGACCCGUCUUGAAACACGGACCC
rnacentral:rRNA from 1 species